GUUUCGGUAGUGUAGUGGUUAUCACGUUCGCCUCACAAUCGCCCCUUGUGAGCCCGCGAAAGGUCUCGAGUUCAAACCUCGACCGAAACA